CUUGUUGAGAGCACCAUAAUGGCAAUGGGGCUUCAGGAUUGUGCAGACACUGUGAUUGGGAACUGGCACUUGAGAGGGAUAAGUGGUGGAGAAAAGAGAAGGGUUAGCAUUGCCUUGGAGAUCUUGAUGAGGCCUAGAUUGCUCUUCCUUGAUGAACCUACAAGUGGACUUGACAGGUACUAAAGAGACUAUUGGACUUUGACAAGAAACUUCCUUCUCCUGAUGCUCUUCUCAUCAAUGGGCAAAGAGAUUCUGCUGUCUUUACCGAUCAAGCAGGGAAGACUUACAAAUUCAGAGUGUCCAAUGUUGGGUUAACAACAUCAAUUAACUUCAGGAUUCAAGGCCACUCAUUGAAACUGAUUGAAGUUGAAGGUGCUCACACAUUACAAGACACAUAU